AUUAGCAGUAGAAAGAGGGAAGUGCUCAUGCCAUUAUACAGAACACUGGUGAGACCUCACUUGGAGUAUUGUACACAGUACUGGAGACCGUAACUUCAGAAGGAUAUUGAUACUUUAGAGGGAGUUCAGAGAAGGGCUACUAAACUGGUUCAUGGAUUGCAGGAUAAAACUUACAAGGACAGGUUAAAGGAACUUAGCAUGCAUAGCGUGGAGGAAAGACGAGACAGG